rnacentral:rRNA from 1 species
GUAGGGAAUUUUGCGCAAUGGGCGAAAGCCUGACGCAGCAACACCGCGUGAGCGAUGAAGCCCCUUGGGGUGUAAAGCUCUGUCAGUAGGGAAGAAUUAAUGACUGUACCUACAGAGGAAGCAUCGGCUAACUACGUGCCAGCAGCCGCGGUAAGACGUAGGAUGCAAGCGUUGUCCGGAAUUAUUGGGCGUAAAGAGUUCGUAGGCGGCAUAUCAAGUCUGGUGUUAAAGACUGGGGCUCAACUCCAGAAGGGCACUGGAUACUGAUAAGCUAGAGUACAGAAGAGGCAAGGGGAAUUCCCAGUGUAGCGGUGAAAUGCGUAGAUAUUGGGAGGAACACCAGUGGCGUAAGCGCCUUGCUGGGCUGUUACUGACGCUGAGGAACGAAAGCCAGGGGAGCAAAUGGGAUUAGAUACCCCUGUAGUCC